rnacentral:rRNA from 1 species
GACGAACGCUGGCUGCGUGCUUAACACAUGCAAGUCGAACGAAGUGGCGAACGGGUGAGUAACGCGGAAUCAACCUGCCCUUCAGAGGGGGAUAAAAGUUGGAAACGACUGCUAAUACCGCAUACUGCAGGCGGGGCUUGCGUUUGAUCAGCUAGUUGGAGGGGUCACGGCCCACCAAGGAGAGGAUCAGUAGCCGGUCUGCGAGGCUGAACGUCUACAUUGUGAAGUGGACACGGCCCAGACUCCUACGGGAGGCAGCAGUGGGGAAUCUUCCGCAAUGGACGAAAGUCGGACGGAGCAACGCCGCGUGAGUGAUGACGGCCUUCGGGUUGUAAAGCUCUGUUAAUCGGGACGCGGUACCGGAAUAGAAAGCCACGGCUAACUACGGGCCAGCAGCCGCGGUAAUUC